rnacentral:rRNA from 1 species
CACGUAGGGGGCGAGCGUUAUCCGGAUUCAUUGGGCGUAAAGCGCGCGCAGGCGGCCGCGCAAGCGCGACCUCUAAGACCGGGGCUCAACCCCGGGCCGGGUCGCGAACUGCACGGCUCGCCCCAGGUAGGGGUAGGCGGAAUUCCCGGUGUAGCGGUGGAAUGCGCAGAUAUCGGGAGGAACACCGACGGCGAAGGCAGCCUACUGGGCCUUCGGGGGACGCUGAGGCGCGAAAGCCGGGGGAGCGAAC